GGUCAAAUAAAACCUGCGAGACUGACAUGUACAUCAUAGAAUAUUUCCAUACACCAAAUAUAGUUGACUUAUUGCAUAAUAGUAUAAGAAAAAAGACCAAAACUCAAAAACUUAACUUUGACCACUGAACCAUGAAAAUGAGGUCAAAGUCAGAUGACACCUGCCAGUUGGACAUGUACACCUUACAAUCAUUCCAUACACCAAAUAUAGUAGACCUAUUGGAUAAAGUAUAAGAAAAACGGACCAAAACACAAAAACUUAACUAUAACCACUGAACCAUGAAAAUGAGGUCAAGGUCAGAUGACACCUGCCAGUUGGACAUGUACACCUAACAGUCCUUCCAUACACCGAAUAUACUAGACCUAUUGCUUAUAGUAUCUGAGAUAUGGACUUGACCACCAAAACUUAACCUUG